UUGCCCAGUGCCCAGUGCGAGCGAGAGAGGGCGAGAGAUGAUACGAACGGCGACGGCGCAUCUCUCGAUUUCUUCGAGUGCCAGCUAUCGGGAACACAGGGAUUACACGUAGUGCCAUCUCCCAGUUGGAGCUUUUGCGUCCAGGACUUCUCUCUCCCGUUCGGGGAGCUUUGUUUCAGUUCCUUGCAGCUCCUUGGCCAGACAACUUUUCCCUUAGCUUUAGAGACACAUCGAAGGCAUCAUCAUCAGCUGCAAUCCAUUUGCGUAUAAAGAAGAAGCCUCGGACAACUCGUUACCAUAUGCCCAGCUCUCGAUUAUUUUUUGCGCGCCAAAAAAAAAGUGGAGAGACAAGCACUUAAGAAAACAACAGGAUGGUGAGGAAGUCCUGAAGACGAGGCCGCCGAAGAAGACAACCCUUGAGCAACCCUUUAUUACGCUUUUCGGCAAGGUCAACUAUCUAUCCGUGUAGGCAAAUUGCAUAUAGGCAAAUCCGAAUCUCCCGUGGAUGCAACCCAACCAUUUAUCAUUUUCUUUCUGUUCUCUUUUUCGUGUGGCCCUCCUGCAAUUUCAAUUUUUGCAAUUUUGCAUGCAGCGGCCGUUAAAAAAGUCUCUGGUAUGCAAUCAGGGCGCUUAUCCUUUGGGUCUUCGGCCCGAAUCCUUUCACUUUCGCUACCUACGAACCGAGACAAGCUGGCAGGGCAAUUCGGAAGUAGAGUUUGCCAAAAUUCCAGCACACACACGCACAUCCUUGCUGUCAUAUGCAAAUUAGCACAGCCAAAAUAGAAAAUUUCUGCGUCCCGCCAAAAAACACAGACCAGCAGCAACCAAAAAAAUAAAGUAAAAAUGCGAACGGAGCACAAAAUGGCAAUUGUUGUCGAAAAGGGUAGAAGAACGACCCAUCGCCCCGUUUUCGGUUUAAAUGCAUUUUUGGUGCGCCUCAUUGGCUUUUGGCAUUGAGGCCCGACGCCCAACUGUCAAUGAGACCGCGCAAAGGGCAAAUAUGCAAAUUAGUUAGCAUUUUUUCCCUUUUAUUUAUUAACUAAUUUAUCUCUGCGGCGCUGUGACACGUCCCAUAGGCAGAGCGAACCCGUCAGGGUCGUGAAUUAUUGGCGAAUGACAUAGAGGAGGUACGAAAAAGCGUUGCAACACCUGGACACAAUUUUUUUUACAACUUUUUUUUUGCCUUUAUGUGGGGUAAGCGUCGCUUUCAACGCUCGUUAAGUAGUUAAGUAGGUUAUGAUAAAGCCGAUUGUAGAAGAAUAGUUCAAAAUGUCCUUAAAUCUACUGGGGUAAAUUUAAGAGCUAUGAACAUGAACAUGUAUAAAUGUAAACUUAGAUAAUAAUAUCCAAAACUCGCUGAAAAUUAUAUAAAUAAGUUAGAAACAAUUUUACCCAUCAGAUAAACAAUAUAUGUUUGGAACAUAAAAUCAGAUCAAUUUUCGUUUUAAAGGCCAAAACUUGCAUCUGCUUAACUCACUUUCGAGAUUUGAGUUUAAUAGUUUGGAUUUUGGUUUCAUUAUUUGGGAAAACUCCAGAUAAAGAGAAAAUCUAGAAAAAUAAAUAAUUCAUUAAGGCGUUAAAUCUCCAUAAACUUCACUUUUGUGUGCUGUCCUCUCACUUUCAAUCGGCUCGAAAUGCAAACCAAAGCACUCAGUCACUGAAAACCCAACCCAAGAAUGAUGGCUGGAAAAUGGAAAAUGUAUGAAAAUUAAAACUCUGUUCACACCCACCGAAGUGGCGACAGGAAAUUCAACGAAAUACAUACAAGCCGGGCGGCAAAGGGAAAAACAUAUGUCAAUAAAAAUCUCUUUUCAUGGAACAUUUGCAUAAUGCAGUCAAAAGGGCAACGCGUUCUCCGACUCUUCCUUUUCCUGUGCCCAGGUGACUGGGACUUCAAACAGAGCCCAAACUUGCAAACUAUGGCACAACUACGGCACGCAUGUUGGUUGGUUUCCUUCGAAAAACAGAAAAACUGAAAAAAACGAUUGCGUCAAACGAUAUCCAUCGCAUUUCGAGGGGUCGUGGCCUUUUAGGCCCAGGGGUGCAUAUCAUUAGCGACAAAAACAGUGGCACACAUUUUCCGACUGACACUUUUUUCCUGGCACACCAAAUGCCUCCUGGCACAUCAAAGGCCAAUCAACUCGUCCAAUUGUUUUUAUGCCCCGAGUUCUUAGUGUUUUCGGUUCUUAUAGGAAGCGGAAGUGAACCCUUCUAACCCCUGACUUAGCCUUUCCACGAACCAUCUGCCCAAGGGGUGGGUUUUUCGACAGUCCGUGGUGAGUUUUCUCUGACCUUGCCAUAAAAAUUGCAAAUUGGAAAGUUUCGCUUAACCAAAUGAAAGAUUGUUUAGACUUUAUAUUUUAUUAUAUUUCAAUAAUGUAUGAUUUUGAUGAAAAACAACAUCAGUUUUACUUUUAUAUUUUUAGUCUACCAGGUAGGUAGGAUUUAAAUAAUAGAAACAUCACAACUUCCUUCAUUAUUGCAUAAUUUCUGUUUUUAUUUACAAGUCUGGUUAAAUGAAUUUUAAUUGAACCAUAAACGCCAUUUUUAUUGCGUAAGUCGCACGCGCCACGCCGAACCAAAUUGCGCAGAAAUUGCAAAUCGCCCAUAAGGCAUAAAUGAAAUUUUUAUAAUCGAAACGAUUGCCGAAAAACGCCCGAAAGUUGCGCAUGCGCCGAAUUUUGUGUUUUUGCCGCUGCCACUGAAAUUGCUUAUACUGUUACUGUUAUUGUUAUUAACUUUAGCUGACAGUGACAGGAGCGAAAAACUCAAAAUAAAAAACUUUGUGCCGACAAAGACUUGACGCCCUGACGUGACAUGGUCAACUUUAAUAUUUUUUUUGGUCGGGAGAUGUGGUCAGGAGUUCUUUGAUCUGCGGGCGGCUGACGGAGGUGGAUAUAGCACGUGCAGAAAGCCUCAGACGGCGAUGGUAUCUACUGAACCACUAUCCUCCAGAGAUGUGGCGAAAAUCAAAAGACUUCGGACACAAACGCGUUUUCAUUGAAACCGCUUUGAGCGCGAUGCUUUACACCUGAUAACCGACCAAAAAAGUAAGGCGAAAUAAAACGCGAAAAAAAUGGAGUAGUCUUUCCAUUGAGACCGCCACAGGACUGUGAUGUAAUCAGACUCUCAACCCCCCGCGCUCCUGCGAUUUGCCGUACGUGAUAUUGUUAAAAGCUUUUAAUUGAAGUCAUCUUCUUGCUCAAAACAGGUAGCUGCCCCCAAAGAGUUGUCUUCUUCUGCUGCCAUCGAUGUCGAGCAUUUUUAUGAUUAAACUAAUUUUUCUUUCCCCCAUAUAGCAGGUGAUGGUUCCCCGAGCUCUCCCGAUAUCCCGCCAUUCCUGUGCGUCCCUCUAGCCAAGUUAUUUUAAUAAACUGCGCGACGUGCCGAGCAUUCUGAAAUGCGA
rnacentral:sRNA from 1 species